rnacentral:rRNA from 1 species
GACGUAGGGCGCGAGCGUUGUCCGGAUUUAUUGGGCGUAAAGAGCUCGUAGGCGGCUUGUCGCGUCGACUGUGAAAUCCCGCGGCUCAACUGCGGGUCUGCAGUCGAUACGGGCAGGCUAGAGUUCGGUAGGGGAGACUGGAAUUCCUGGUGUAGCGGUGAAAUGCGCAGAUAUCAGGAGGAACACCGGUGGCGAAGGCGGGUCUCUGGGCCGCAACUGACGCUGAGGAGCGAAAGCAUGGGGAGCGAACAGG